AUUGAACGCUGGCGGCAUGCCUUACACAUGCAAGUCGAACGGCAGCACGGGUGCUUGCCCCUGGUGGCGAGUGGCGAACGGGUGAGUAAUACAUCGGAACAUGUCCUGUAGUGGGGGAUAGCCCGGCGAAAGCCGGAUUAAUACCGCAUACGAUCUACGGAUGAAAGCGGGGGACCUUCGGGCCUCGCGCUAUGGGGUUGGCCGAUGGCUGAUUAGCUAGUUGGUGGGGUAAAGGCCUACCAAGGCGACGAUCGGUAGCUGGUCUGAGAGGACGACCAGCCACACUGGGACUGAGACACGGCCCAGACUCCUACGGGAGGCAGCAGUGGGGAAUUUUGGACAAUGGGCGAAAGCCUGAUCCAGCAAUGCCGCGUGAGUGAAGAAGGCCUUCGGGUUGUAAAGCACUUUUGUCCGGGAAGAAAACCUUUGUCCUUAACCAGGCGGGGGAUGACGGUACCGGAAGAAUAAGCACCGGCUAACUACGUG
rnacentral:rRNA from 1 species